CGAGCUUCGAGGGGGCGGGCUCGGGUGCGGUGCGGGCGCGGCCAGGGCUUCGAAAUCAGGCUGUCUGGUGGCUACUCCAGGAAACAUGGCCAAGUUUGUCCUGAAUCAGAACCUGCCUGACCUGGGUGGCCCUCACCUGUACCCCGGCUCCAC